GACCAUAGAAAAAUAGAAGCUAAAACAAAAAUUAAAAAGGUUUGGGUUCCAAAAGGAACCAACAUAGCUAACCUUGAAGGAUCCAAGAAAACUUGGGUACCUACGAUUAUAUGAUUUCCUUGUGUAGGAGUGUCUUGCAGCCAAGCUCAAUAAAAACUGUUGGUACUUGGAUAGUGGCUGCUCAAGACAUAUGACGGGUGACAAGGAGCAAUUCUUCACCCUAGAACCUAAGAAAGGAGGUGUGGUGACUUUUGGAGAUGAUAACCAA
rnacentral:lncRNA from 1 species